CUCUCUCUCUCUCUCUCUCUCUCUCCCAUUCCUCUUUCAUUAUCUCUCCCUCUCUCCUUAUUUUUUUUCAUACACUUUCAAAAUUUUUAUCCUUUUAGCAUUUAGAGCUUUAACUUUAUUUUUUUUCUUUUUUCUUUUUUACAAUCAGGACAUAUAAUUCUACCUUCUCUGCACUUAGGUGACAAAAUGAAACAUAGCAUAAAAAUUGCUGACAUGGCAUUGACGUCAAUAUGCCACAUCAGCACCACAUCAUACAUGACGUCACGUCACCAUGCCACAUCAUACACGGGUGCCAC
rnacentral:misc_RNA from 1 species